rnacentral:rRNA from 1 species
AACCUCCGCAAUGUGAGAAAUCGCGACGGGGGGAUCCCAAGUGCCAUUCUUAACGGGAUGGCUUUUCAUUAGUGUAAAGAGCUUUUGGAAUAAGGGCUGGGCAAGACCGGUGCCAGCCGCCGCGGUAACACCGGCAGCUCUAGUGGUAGCAGUUUUUAUUGGGCCUAAAGCGUCCGUAGCCGGUUUAAUAAGUCUCUGGUGAAAUCCUGUAGCUUAACUGUGGGAAUUGCUGGAGAUACUAUUAGACUUGAGACCGGGAGAGGUUAGAGGUACUCCCAGGGUAGAGGUGAAAUUCUGUAAUCCUGGGUGGACCGCCUGUUGCGAAGGCGUCUAACUGGAACGGUUCUGACGGUGAGGGACGAAAGUUAGGGGCGCGAACCGGAUUAGAUACCCGGGUAGUCCUAACCGUAAACGAUGCGGACUUGGUGUUGGGGUGGCUUUGAGCUGCUCCAGUGCCGAAGGGAAGCUGUUAAGUCCGCCGCCUGGGAAGUACGGUCGCAAGACUGAAACUUAAAGGAAUU